UUGGGCAAUGGAGGCAACUCUGACCCAGCCAUGCCGCGUGGGUGACGAAGGUCUUCGGAUUGUAAAGCCCUUUCGGCGGGGACGAUGAUGACGGUACCCGCAGAAGAAGCCCCGGCUAACUUAGUGCCAGCAGCCGCGGUAAUACGAAGGGGGCUAGCGUUGUUCGGAAUUACUGGGCGUAAAGGGCGUGUAGGCGGCCCGCUAAGUCAGGUGUGAAAUUCCUGGGCUCAACCCAGGACGUGCACUUGAGACUGACGGGCUUGAGUCCGGGAGAGGAUGGUGGAACUCCCAGUGUAGAGGUGAAAUUCGUAGAUAUUGGGAAGAACACCCGUGGCGAAGGCGGCCAUCUGGACCGGUACUGACGCUAAGGCGCGAAAGCGUGGGGAGCAAACA
rnacentral:rRNA from 1 species